rnacentral:lncRNA from 1 species
CGGCAGACAACCGGGCUGGCAGAGCCAAGCAACCCCUGCGGGGCUGUCAGGGCCGCCGGGAAGGUCCCACCACCGACAAAAAAAAGCUCAACCUGGGAGAGGGAAGGCGCCGCUUGACAGCUCCCUCCGGGAGGCUCUAGCAACUUCUGCACCGCGCCAGCCCCCGGCUCCGCCGCCUCCCCUCGCCCGGAGGAGGAAGUUCCCGCUCCCCUUAUCAGCGCUGCUCCCACAACCUUCCUCACGCCCGACCCGCCGCCCCGCAUCCCGCCUCCGAAACGGGGGGGAAAAGGAGCCCAGCCCGGGCCGGGCCGCAACCCGCCGCCCCCGCGGCUGGGGGCGACCCCCGCCCGCCGCGCAUGCGCCCCGCAGCCCCUCACCGUUGCCGGGUGACUCGCCCUCCCCGCCGCCCUCAGCACCACCACCGGCAGCGGCAGCAGGUUCCUCCGCCUCUUCCUACCCCGCGGGCCGAGCGCGGGCCUCUCCUCGCCUCUCCGCUUCUCCUCGCCGGCCGCCGCCGCCUCCUCCUCCUCUUUCUCCUUCUCCUCCUCCCUGGGCCGCCGCCGUCGCCGCGCUGCCGCCCCGGCCGCCGUCCGUCCCCACAGCCGCUCCGUCGCUCCAGCAGCGCCUGGCCCGGCCGGUGCGGGUGACUCAGCCGUCCGCCUGCCUCGGCCUGUGUGGGCUCAGGGGUGCCCAAAGCAUGACCACGGCCCUGGGCCUCACCACGCAGGCUUCUGCUCCACCACAGCUUUGCAUUCCUCCACAACCAUAUUAAAAACAUUUCCUGCAAAUUUCCCGGAUUAAAGCGUGAAGAACGAUCACCCCCAAACAUUUCCCGGGUGUGAGCACGCCAGAAGUAACGAAGUGCCCUUUGACAAAGAGCUAAUGCAUUUGGAAACACAAAAUUUAGCACCCUGGAAGUAAGUUAGCAUAAGUUAGUGAGGAGAUGGGAGCUCACAGCAGAAGUGUUAAACGCCGUGCCUGACAGUCUGUGGUUCCCACAUGCCACGUUGAAACUACAACAGCUUUUUCUGUCAAGCCGUGCCAGCAGCCAUAGGUGGUGGGUUUAAUAAAGCAUUUAAGGAAAUUUGGAUUUAGUUAGUA